rnacentral:lncRNA from 1 species
UAGAACGGGGCCUGGCACCGAGGAAGCGCUCAAUAACUGUAAGGAUCGUCUCUUUAUUCUCAGUGUUCUGAAGUGUGAUGAUCAAUAUCUGCAUUGUUUUCCUGUUUGUUGUGCUAGCCUUUUGGCACGCAUCUGGCUGGGCUUGCAGGCUUCCUUUUGUGUCCCUGGUGAUGAGCUUCUUCAGCUCCCUUCCUCACUGCCUGUGAGCUCAGCAGCAGGCUUAGAGCUCUCCUGGGCCUUGAACAUUCUCCCUCUGCCAAUGUUUCCUAAUUCAAAGAUGACCCGACCUUUGGAAGAGGCGCAGAGCUCCUGAGGUGAGGUUUUGCCUUGACCAACGCAGUUGAAUGGAUUCACGUUCAAAAUAGCUCCUGGAAAUCACCAUUCUACUUUCUGUUUCUAUGAAUUUGACUACUCUAGGAACCUCAU